UGACCAUUACUCCAUGUGAAUCUGCAUCCACUAGCAUCAAGUUGUAUAAGUUGCUUGGCAACCAUUACAUCCCGAAAUUGAUCCAUUCUCCUAAAAGACUCAGGUGCUCCACCUUGUUUCUCAUCUAAAGACAAAAUCUGAUUAAAAUCACCGAUAAUGAGCUAAGGCAGAGAGUCAAAAUCUAAAAAAUCCUACAGAUAAUUUCAAAAAAAAAAUCCUGAAUUGAAGGUGUUGGACUUACAUAAGCCGUUGUAAGAGCUUACUACAACCUCUUUCCAUCAUCAAUAAUAAGGGAAACAAAUUGUCUACUUCGGCAAACAACUUCCACACUACCAACAGAUGACUUCCAUAGAGUCCAUAUACCCCUGAAAACCCCAACGCAUCCACCUUCAUGUGAUUAUCAAACCGUAAAAUUCGAAUAACUUUAUCAGCAUUCCCUCUACUAAUACGUGGUUCCGCAAUAAUCAAAAUUUAAACUCUAUGUAACUGAACUAGCUCCUUUAUGUUGCGCCUAGCUUCUAAACUAGCAGCACCUCAACAACUCCAAAACAAAAUCGUGAAAAAUAACAACUCAAGCAAGAAGCCAAAGCUUGCAAAAUUAUUCUUGCAUAGAAGACACCAAGGUCGCUGCUUCACUACCAAAAGUUACAUUGUUCGCACUAAACGAUAUUAAAGAAGACUCAUUACAAACCAACCCCAUAGAAGAUGUAGCCAUAUCCUUCAAUACAACAAACGAGGCUAGUUUACCAACAUCGUUCAAAGGAGAAGGAACAUGAU
rnacentral:lncRNA from 1 species